GAUAGCACAGAGCAGGAAAAGAAAAGCUCUUCAGGCCGUGACUAACCGGGGAAGUGCCUGGGAGACCCAGAGGGGAAGUAACGAGACAAAGUCGGAAGUGACCCCCAGGAAGACCGCAGUAUGGAGGCUGUCCGGUUUGGACAAUGUACCUGGCAGGGGGGCACCCCCUACUUGAUCCACAGUCCGUGAAGAAAGCAGCUAUGGUGGAAGGUCCUGGUCAUGGAGAGAAAGGUACAAUGUGUUACAGUAAUCAAGCCUGGAAGAUAUGAAUACAUGAGUCACUGGAGCCAAACCUGCACUUAUCUGGAUGGGAUGCAGUCUCCUGGCCAGCUAGAGAUGGAAGAAGAAGUUCUUAAAGGAGAAAAGACAACGCCUUUGAGAGUUCUUCAGCUCUCAUCAACGAAGCAAGGUUGGUCUAAGUCAGUACUGAGAUGGCAGCUAUCCAAAGAGGGACUUCAGAAAAUAGUGGGAACAUAAAGUCAUAACUCUGCUAGACAACAAAAACCAUGGACU